UGGGCAAUGACGAAGAAAUCUCCCGCAUUGGAUUCGGGUCGACAAAAUAGGUACGGGUCGCUAGGCGGUGGCGUGGGUGGAAUUGCAUCUAGGGCAGACGAGGUCGAUAACUGGGCAAGUGUCAAAAAGCCUAUUCCAUCAAGAUCCUCCACAUUUGGUUCUGGUUAUCGUGAGGCAAACGAGCCUGAUCGCUGGGGUAGAGGUCGUUCACGUGAUAGUGACACAGAACGACCCCGGUUAGUACUGGAUCCUCCUAAAGGUAAUGUCGUUACAAAUGAAGCAACGAGGACGAACAAGCCAAGUCCUUUUGGAGCAGCA
rnacentral:misc_RNA from 1 species